GACGAACGCUGGCGGCGUGCUUAACACAUGCAAGUCGAGCGGUAAGGCCCUUUCGGGGGUACACGAGCGGCGAACGGGUGAGUAACACGUGGGUGACCUGCCCUCAGCUCUGGGAUAAGCCUGGGAAACCGGGUCUAAUACUGGAUAUGACUCCAUGACGCAUGUUGUGGGGUGGAAAGCCUUGCGCGGCUGAGGAUGGGCCCGCGGCCUAUCAGCUUGUUGGUGGGGGAUGGCCUACCAAGGCGACGACGGGUAGCCGGCCUGAGAGGGCGACCGGCCACACUGGGACUGAGACACGGCCCAGACUCCUACGGGAGGCAGCAGUGGGGAAUCUUGCGCAAUGGGCGAAAGCCUGACGCAGCGACGCCGCGUGAGGGAUGACGGCCUGGU
rnacentral:rRNA from 1 species